rnacentral:lncRNA from 1 species
CGGGUUGCUUCUCUCGUUAGCUUCGGUUUCUUUCCGGAGUUGUGAGGAUUCGUUCGACUACGUCCGCUUGUCUUCUUCAUGGACUCGUUCUUCUUCCUUGCGGGAUCUCAGGCAAGAUGACCAUACCCUCGAAAUCACUUCUAUCUUUGCUUGCUAGCCGUUCGCUCUAUUGCCAUGCCGCGUUACCUAUUCACUUGCUCUUCAAGCCUCCCAAAUUGCCAUGAACCUCUAACCUUUGUCACCCUUCCUAGCAAAUCGUUGUUUGGCUAUGUUACCGCUUUUGCUCAGCCCCUCUUAUAGCAUUGCUAGAUGCAGGUGAAGAUGAAGAUUGUUCCAUGUUGGAUUCUAUUUAUGUUGGGAUAUCACAAUAUCUCUUAUCUUAAUUAAUGCAUCUAUAUAUUUGGUAAAGGGUGGAAGGCUCGGCCUUAUGCCUGGUGUUUUGUUCCACUCUUGCCGCCCUAGUUUCCGUCAUACCGGUGUUAUGUUCCUUGAUUUUGCGUUCCUUACGCGGUUGGGUGAUUUAUGGGACCCCCUUGACAGUUCGCUUUGAAUAAAACUCCUCCAGCAAGGCCCAACCUUGGUUUUACCAUUUGCCUACCUAAGCCUUUUUCCCUUGGGUUCUGCAGACUCAAGGGUCAUCUUUAUUUUAAACCCCCGGGCCAGUGCUCCUCUGAGUGUUGGUCCAACCUGUCAGUCGCCGGUGGCCACCAGGGGCAACUCUGGGUUGGCCUACCGGAAGCUUGGACAAUCCGGUGUGCCCUGAGAACGAGAUAUGUGCAGCUCCUAUCGGGAUUUGUCGGCACAUUCGGGCGGCUUUGCUGGUCUUGUUUUACCAUUGUCGAAAUGUCUUGUAAACCGGGAUUCCGAGACUGAUCGGGUCUUCCCGGGAGAAGGUUUAUCCUUCGUUGACCGUGAGAGCUUAUAAUGGGCUAAGUUGGGACACCCCUGCAGGGUAUUUUUCUUUCGAAAGCCAUGCCCGCGGUUAUGAGGCAGAUGGGAAUUUGUUAAUAUCCGGUUGUAGAGAAUUUGACACUUGACCUUAAUUAAAACGCAUCAACCGCGUGUGUAGCCGUGAUGGUCUCUUCUCGGCGGAGUCCGGGAGGUGAACACGGUUUCAGGGUUAUGUUUGACGUAAGUAGGGGUUCAGGAUCACUUCUUGAUCAUUGCUAGAUCACGACCGUUCCGUUGCUUCUCUUCUCGCUCUUAUUUGCGUAUGUUAGCCACCAUAUAUGCUAGUGCUUGCUGCAGCUCCACCUCAUUACCCCAUCCUUUCCUUUAAGCUUAAAUAGUCUUGAUCUCGUGGGUGUGAGAUUGCUGAGUCCUCGUGACUCACAGAUACUUCCCAAACAGUUGCAGGUGCCGAUGAGACCAGUGCAGAUGACGCUACUGAGCUCAAGUGGGAGCUCGAUGAAGAUCUUGUUCGUUGUGUUGUUCUUUUCUGGUUGAUCAGUAGUGGAGCCCAGUUGGGACGAUCAGGGAUCUAGCAGUUGGGUUGUCUUCUUUU